UACGUAGGGGGCAAGCGUUGUUCGGAAUUACUGGGCGUAAAGGGCGCGUAGGCGGCAUGGCAAGUCAGGAGUGAAAGGCCUGGGCUCAACCGAGGAACUGCUUUUGAUACUGCCAAGCUAGAGUGCGGAAGGGGCAACUGGAAUUCCCAGUGUAGCGGUGAAAUGCGUAGAUAUUGGGAAGAACACCUGAGGCGAAGGCGGGUUGCUGGGCCUAACUGACGCUGAGGAGCGAAAAGCGUGGGGGAGCGAACAGG
rnacentral:rRNA from 1 species